rnacentral:rRNA from 1 species
GAUGAACGCUGGCGGCGUGCCUAAUACAUGCAUGUCGAGCGAAUGGAUUAAGAGCUUGCUCUUAUGAAGUUAGCGGCGGACGGGUGAGUAACACGUGGGUAACCUGCCCAUAAGACUGGGAUAACUCCGGGAAACCGGGGCUAAUACCGGAUAACAUUUUGAACCGCAUGGUUCGAAAUUGAAAGGCGGCUUCGGCUGUCACUUAUGGAUGGACCCGCGUCGCAUUAGCUAGUUGGUGAGGUAACGGCUCACCAAGGCAACGAUGCGUAGCCGACCUGAGAGGGGGAUCGGCCACACUGGGACUGAGACACGGCCCAGGCUCCUGAGGGAGGCAGCAGUAGGGAAUCUUCCGCAAUGGACGAAAGUCUGACGGAGCAACGCCGCGUGAGUGAUGAAGGCUUUCGGGUCGUAAAACUCUGUUGUUAGGGAAGAACAAGUGCUAGUUGAAUAAGCUGGCACCUUGACGGUACCUAACCAGAAAGCCACGGCUAACUACGUGCCAGCCGCCGCAGUAA